ACUCAUGUAUUUUAGUAAAUAAGUAGUUUACUUAUUUCUCUUUCUAUGCAUGAAGGAGAAUAUUCCUUUUAAUUGGCACAGCUGUGUCCAUUUCAUGGGUAUCAGUUUCUGGCCUGCACAGUACCAUUC